rnacentral:sRNA from 1 species
GCCGGGCGUGGUAGUGCACACCUGUAAUCCCAGCAUCUUGGAAGGCUGAGGCAGGAGGAUCAUGAGUUCAAAGCCAGCCUCAG